rnacentral:rRNA from 1 species
UACGUAGGCAGCGAGCGUUGUUCGGAGUUACUGGGCGUAAAGGGUGCGUAGGCGGGUUUUUAAGUCAGGGGUGAAAUCCUGGAGCUCAACUCCAGAACUGCCUUUGAUACUGAAGAUCUUGAGUCCGGGAGAGGUGAGUGGAACUGCGAGUGUAGAGGUGAAAUUCGUAGAUAUUCGCAAGAACACCAGUGGCGAAGGCGGCUCACUGGCCCGGUACUGACGCUGAGGCACGAAAGCGUGGGGAGCAAACAGG